AUUGAACGCUGGCGGCAGGCUUAACACAUGCAAGUCGAGCGGAGCGAGGGUGCUUGCACCUUAGCUUAGCGGCGGACGGGUGAGUAAUGCUUAGGAAUCUGCCUAUUAGUGGGGGACAACAUUCCGAAAGGAAUGCUAAUACCGCAUACGCCCUACGGGGGAAAGCAGGGGAUCUUCGGACCUUGCGCUAAUAGAUGAGCCUAAGUCGGAUUGGCUAGUUGGUGGGGUAAAGGCCUACCAAGGCGACGAUCUGUAGCGGGUCUGUGAGGAUGAUCCGCCACACUGGGACGGGGACACGGCCCAGACUCCUACGGGAGGCAGCAGUGGGGAAUAUUGGACAAUGGGCGGAAGCCUGAUCCAGCCAUGCCGCGUGUGUGAAGAAGGCCUUUUGGUUGUAAAGCACUUUAAGCGAGGAGGAGGCUACUUAGAUUAAUACUCUGGGAUAGUGGACGUUACUCGCAGAAUAAGCACCGGCUAACUCUGUGCCAGCCGCCGCCGUAA
rnacentral:rRNA from 1 species